GAUGAACGCUGGCGGCGUGCUUAACACAUGCAAGUCGAACGGUGAAGGCGGAGCUUGCUCUGCUGGAUCAGUGGCGAACGGGUGAGUAACACGUUAGCAAUCUGCCCCUGACUCUGGGAUAAGCGCUGGAAACGGCGUCUAAUACUGGAUACGAGCUGCGAAGGCAUCUUCAGCAGCUGGAAAGAAUUUCGGUCAGGGAUGAGCUCGCGGCCUAUCAGCUUGUUGGUGAGGUAAUGGCUCACCAAGGCGUCGACGGGUAGCCGGCCUGAGAGGGUGACCGGCCACACUGGGACUGAGACACGGCCCAGACUCCUACGGGAGGCAGCAGUGGGGAAUAUUGCACAAUGGGCGAAAGCCUGAUGCAGCAACGCCGCGUGAGGGACGACGGCCUUCGGGUUGUAAACCUCUUUUAGCAGGGAAGAAGCGAAAGUGACGGUACCUGCAGAAAAAGCGCCGGCUAACUACGUG
rnacentral:rRNA from 1 species